rnacentral:rRNA from 1 species
UGAGGAAUAUUGGUCAAUGGGCGAGAGCCUGAACCAGCCAAGUAGCGUGCAGGACGACGGCCCUAUGGGUUGUAAACUGCUUUUAUAUGGGGAUAAAGUGAGUUACGUGUAGCUUAUUGCAGGUACCAUAUGAAUAAGGACCGGCUAAUUCCGUGCCAGCAGCCGCGGUAAUACGGAAGGUCCAGGCGUUAUCCGGAUUUAUUGGGUUUAAAGGGAGCGUAGGCCGGAGAUUAAGCGUGUUGUGAAAUGUAGUGGCUCAACCUCUGCACUGCAGCGCGAACUGGUCUUCUUGAGUACGCACAACGUGGGCGGAAUUCGUGGUGUAGCGGUGAAAUGCUUAGAUAUCACGAAGAACUCCGAUUGCGAAGGCAGCUCACGGGAGCGCAACUGACGCUGAAGCUCGAAAGUGCGGGUAUCGAACAGGAUUAGAUACCCUGGUAGU